rnacentral:rRNA from 1 species
GACGAACGCUGGCGGCGUGCUUAACACAUGCAAGUCGAGCGAUGAAGUUCCUUCGGGAAUGGAUUAGCGGCGGACGGGUGAGUAACACGUGGGUAACCUGCCUCAUAGAGGGGAAUAGCCUUCCGAAAGGAAGAUUAAUGCCGCAUAAGAUUGCAGUUUCACAUGAAACAGCAAUUAAAGGAGUAAUCCGCUAUGAGAUGGACCCGCGUCGCAUUAGCUAGUUGGUAAGGUAACGGCUUACCAAGGCGACGAUGCGUAGCCGACCUGAGAGGGUGAUCGGCCACAUUGGGACUGAGACACGGCCCAGACUCCUACGGGAGGCAGCAGUGGGGAAUAUUGCACAAUGGGGGAAACCCUGAUGCAGCAACGCCGCGUGAGUGAUGAAGGUCUUCGGAUUGUAAAACUCUGUCUUCAGGGACGAUAAUGACGGUACCUGAGGAGGAAGCCACGGCUAACUACGUGCCAGCCGCCGCCGUAA